rnacentral:rRNA from 1 species
GAGUUGAUCAUGGCUCAGAGCGAACGCUGGCGGCGUACUUAACACAUGCAAGUCGAACGGGGUUCGUCGGUGUGGCAACACAUCGGCGGGCUUAGUGGCGAACGGGUGAGUAACACGUGGGCAACCUGUCCUCCAGUCGGGGAUACCCGCUCGAAAGGGCGGCUAAUACCGGAUGCGGUCCCGGGGUCGCAAGAUCUUGGGAGGAAAGGCGGCGAAAGCUGUCGCUGGUGGAGGGGCUCGCGGCCUAUCAGCUAGUUGGUGAGGUAACGGCUCACCAAGGCGAUGACGGGUAGCUGGUCUGAGAGGACGACCAGCCACACGGGGACUGAGACACGGCCCCGACUCCUACGGGAGGCAGCAGUGGGGAAUUUUCCGCAAUGGGCGAAAGCCUGACGGAGUGACGCCGCGUGGGGGACGAAGGCCUUCGGGUCGUAAACCCCUGUCAGAGGGAAAGAAGGGUCGCCGGGCGAAUACCCUGGUGAUCUGACGGUACCUUCAGAGGAAGCCCCGGCCAACUCUGUGCCAGCAGCCGCGGUAAGACAGAGGGGGCAAGCGUUGCUCGGAAUUACUGGGCGUAAAGGGCGCGUAGGCGGGUCCGCAAGUCGAUCGUGAAAUCCUUCGGCUCAACUGAAGGGGGUCGGUCGAUACUGCGGGUCUUGAGGGAUGCAGAGGAGACUGGAAUUCCCGGUGUAGCGGUGAAAUGUGUAGAGAUCGGGAGGAACACCGGUGGC